rnacentral:rRNA from 1 species
GCCUUAACACAUGCAAGUCGAACGAUGAACCACCUUCGGGUGGGGAUUAGUGGCGAACGGGUGAGUAACACGUGGGCAAUCUGCCCUGCACUCUGGGACAAGCCCUGGAAACGGGGUCUAAUACCGGAUACUGAUCCUCGCGGGCAUCUGCGAGGUUCGAAAGCUCCGGCGGUGCAGGAUGAGCCCGCGGCCUAUCAGCUUGUUGGUGAGGUAAUGGCUCACCAAGGCGACGACGGGUAGCCGGCCUGAGAGGGCGACCGGCCACACUGGGACUGAGACACGGCCCAGACUCCUACGGGAGGCAGCAGUGGGGAAUAUUGCACAAUGGGCGAAAGCCUGAUGCAGCGACGCCGCGUGAGGGAUGACGGCCUUCGGGUUGUAAACCUCUUUCAGCAGGGAAGAAGCGAAAGUGACGGUACCUGCAGAAGAAGCGCCGGCUAACUACGUGCCAGCAGCCGCGGUAAUACGUAGGGCGCAAGCGUUGUCCGGAAUUAUUGGGCGUAAAGAGCUCGUAGGCGGCUUGUCACGUCGGUUGUGAAAGCCCGGGGCUUAACCCCGGGUCUGCAGUCGAUACGGGCAGGCUAGAGUUCGGUAGGGGAGAUCGGAAUUCCUGGUGUAGCGGUGAAAUGCGCAGAUAUCAGGAGGAACACCGGUGGCGAAGGCGGAUCUCUGGGCCGAUACUGACGCUGAGGAGCGAAAGCGUGGGGAGCGAACAGGAUUAGAUACCCUGGUAGUCCACGCCGUAAACGGUGGGCACUAGGUGUGGGCAACAUUCCACGUUGUCCGUGCCGCAGCUAACGCAUUAAGUGCCCCGCCCUGGGGAGUACGGCCGCAAGCUAAAAACUCAAGAAAUUGACGGGGGCCCGCACAAGCCGGCGGGAGCAGGGUGGGCUUUAAAUUUC